GACGAACGCUGGCGGCGUGCCUAACACAUGCAAGUCGAACGGCAAGGCGCGUUCGGGGGUACACGAGUGGCGGACGGGUGAGUAACACGUAAGCAACCUGACCUUGACUAUGGGAUAACAGUUGGAAACAGCUGCUAAUACUGGAGACUAAUCGUCUCCUUCCAGGGGGGUGGCGGAAAGCUCCGGCGGUCAGGGAUGGGCUCGCGGCCUAUUAGCUUGUUGGUGAGGUAAUGGCUCACCAAGGCUUCGACGGAUAGCCGGCCUGGGAGGGCGAACGGCCCCCCUGGUCCUGAGGUACGGCCCAGACUCCAACUGGAGGCAGCAGUGGGGAGUAUUACACAGUGGGCGCGAGCCUGAUGCAGCAACGCCGCGUGCGGGAUGACGGCCUUCGGGUUGUAAACCGCUUUCUGUAGGGACGAACGGUGACUGACGGUACCUACAGAAUAAGGACCGGCUAACUACGUG
rnacentral:rRNA from 1 species